UCGGAAGAAGGAGCUCCAUUAGCAAAAGCCGAAGCUUCUUCCGAGAUCCCAAUGGCGAUCCCAAUGGCGGCCUCAUCCUCCGUAGCUGCACCGGCGGUCACGCCGACUACAAGGAACUUCAUCCCAUAGGUCAUUACCGAAUCUUUCCUCUAUCGGCAAUACAUUUACUUUAGAUCUAUUUCUUACUUUCACUCCCCCUUUUUCCUUUUUUAGGCGG
rnacentral:lncRNA from 1 species